UACGUAGGUGGCAAGCGUUAUCCGGAAUUACUGGGCGUAAAGCGCGCGCAGGCGGUUCUCCAAGUCAGUGGUGAAAGCCCGGAGCUCAACUCCGGAACUGCCAUUGAAACUGUUGAACUUGAGGACGAGAGAGGUGAGUGGAAUUCCCAGUGUAGAGGUGAAAUUCGUAGAUAUUGGGAAGAACACCGGUGGCGAAGGCGGCUCACUGGCUCGUAUCUGACGCUCAGGCGCGAUAGCGUGGGGAUCAAACAGG
rnacentral:rRNA from 1 species